UCAGACUUGAGGGCACACAGUUCAGG
rnacentral:piRNA from 1 species